ACCACCAGUCUCCCUCCUCUAGGCGCCGCGAGAGCGCUCCCACCUGAGGCCCGCCCCGGUGUUUCCCCAACCCCGCCCCCUGGAAUCUGACCAAUCAGCUUCGGGCUUGCGUAGCAGCGCCUGAUUGGUGGAACACGGAGGUCGCCCCAGAGAGGGCUGAGCUCAUUGGACAGCUUCCCCGCGCGUCUAUAAAAGGGUCGCGGCCACCGCGCGGGUGAGCGCGCUGGAGGGAUCCUGGCGGCGGGCGAGAACGCUAAGCCUCGCGCCUCAGAGCCCCGGGCCGGGCCUGCCAGGGUCCCCUAGACCCCAGGUCCCUCACGCCCUUCGCACGCGGGGAUGGGAUGGCCUCCUUCGCCUCUCUCUGUCCGCGAGAGGAGCUCUACCUCUUAGCCUUUGUCCCCAAAGAGAACAUCCACUUGCUUUGACUUGGACGUAAGAAAUAUUUUUCGCUUAUGGGUCAUUGUCAUUGUUCAAGUAAACUCUGAAAACGUUGGCAGUUAUUCUCACGUGCAGAGGCUCCCUCACGAAUCCAUCACGCUGCGCAGUGGUGUGCCCCUGCGUCAGGAGAGGCAGAAAGUGAAGGAAGACACCAAAGUCACUAGAGCACCUUUAGGUUCACGGCGCAGUUGAGGUGUGGAGACUUCCCAUAUACCCACUGCCUUCACACGUGCACAGCCUCCGCCGUUUGCAACAUUCUUCGCCAGGGGGAAGAGAAGUAGCAAAGCUCUAAAGGGAGAAUUAUUUUUUUGCAGUUUCCCCCCAUUUCAUCGCUCGUGGUGGAUAUCCACAUGUUCCAGUACCCUAUUUCAAAAAGAUGAUCCUUUCUCCUUUGAGUUUUCUUGGUGCGUGUGUUGAAAAUCAAUUGGCUGUAAAUGUAAUCUCAUACGGAACUCUGGCUUCAGCAGACUUCUCACCGAGGAAUCCUGUGUCAACAUUUGCAACUGAGAUGCCACGGAACUGUCCACUCAUAUCGCCAGCCUGGCGUCUCUCCUGUGCUGCCGUGUGAAUCUCAAGGGCCGUCUUCUUUGCACCGAGCGACAGAUGAUAUUGGUAGUGAAAACACAAAACACGGGGUUAAGAAGAACUGGUCGCUGCACAUGUCGGUCCUGCCGGGCACUAACAAGGACCAGUUCCCGACUGGAAUUUGAAAGGACCGCUGUUACAUUCUGCUGUACUAUGGGUGCCCAGAGGAAAUGACUCCCUAGAGGGGAGCCUGGAUUGGACCAUCUAGCAGCCCAACAACACCAGAGCCAGCCAGCCAGCCAGGCCCCCUUCUCAGACUCGCAUGUGCGGUCCUUUGGGCAUUGGCUUCACCUUUGCUCCCUAGAGCUCUUUUUUUCUCAUCACCUAGCCGUCUUCUCUAGCCCGGGCUCGGCAAACUCCAACCCGUGGGCCAAAUUCAACCUGCUGCCUAGUUUUACAAGGAAGCUGAAUAGAAAAACAACUUUCCUAAGCUCAAAGAAUGAAUGGCAAAGCCAGCAACCGUUGACUCGUCGAUGCCUGAGGUAUUUACACUUUCAGUAACCUGCAUAUGGAUCCCACUGCUAUUUAAUUAAGACUUAAACCUAUAAAGAUGCACAUUUAAUACUCACAGUAAACCCUUGACUUGUUUCCUUUGAAGAUAAACAGAGAGUGAGAGUGAGUGAGGGAGGGGCAAAGGGAGAGGAAGAGAGAAUCUCAAGCAGGAUC